AUGCUGGAGCGAGUGACUCCCGAGUUACAGAAAGACAACGAGGAAAAGAGUGAAUUCAUCAUGGAGCCACUGAAGGCUGGUCUUAUUAUGCUCUAUGUAUGGCAACAGUAUCAUUUAGACUUAGACAAGGGAACUCUUUCUCGUCUCUGCACUGCCCUGUGCCUGCCAAAAUUGCCUAAAGAUAAAUUCCUAUCUUUCUGGACAGACAUAACAGAAUCAUUCUCAGCAAUAAAAAACUUGUCUGACAUGGUAAAGGAACUAAUCAACAGAGUGAGAGCAGAGGACAUGUCCAGAUGGAUCAUUGUAAUUCCUCUACUGCACCUUCUCAAGGGCCCUUCAAAACCAUUUGAGCCAGUGUCUACUAAGGUCAACUCACAAAAUGAGAUGAGCUGGGCUGGACUGCAGGGACUCAAAUCAGCUAAUAUAACUUCCACCAGAUCUCAGGAUCGAAGGGCAAUGCUCAAUCUCAUGAUGAACCAUGGACAUUUGGUGGAGGUGGACAAACUGCUGGCACGGUCUUGGAUGUAUCUGA
ensembl:lncRNA